rnacentral:rRNA from 1 species
AAAGUGGCGAACGGGUGAGUAACACGUGAGCAACCUACCUUACACAGGGGGAUAGCCGUUGGAAACGACGAUUAAUACCGCAUGAGACCACAGAACCGCAUGGUAAAGGGGUCAAAGAUUUAUCGGUGUAAGAUGGGCUCGCGUCUGAUUAGCUAGUUGGAAGGGUAAAGGCCUACCAAGGCGACGAUCAGUAGCCGGUCUGAGAGGAUGAACGGCCACAUUGGAACUGAGACACGGUCCAAACUCCUACGGGAGGCAGCAGCC